rnacentral:lncRNA from 1 species
AAUGUAAAUAGUUAACUUUUGGGUAUGCCUCUUCCAAAUUCUAUGACACAAUUUAACCAAAAUGCAUUAACAGAAUCGUGCUAUCAAAACCCCCCACAUUAUUCCCCAAAUUAAAACCCUAAAAUUCAAUCAAAAUGCCCCCAUAAAAAUUUUAGGGUUUCUACAAACUUGUAUAAACCACCAAAUUCUAGGGUUUCCGAAGCUACAAACGACAAAUGAAAGCUGAACUGUGACUAUGUACGAGUAAAUUACAAGCUAGGGCUAAAAUUGGGGAUCGUCAGAAAUUAUACCCUGUUCUAGGGUUUUGCUUUUGAUGCACAACGUACCUCAAUUCAAAGCACGAGAAUAUUUCUGUACACACCCGUCCAACCAUUCACCUUUCCACGUAUAAAUAUAUAUACCUUUUUCGUAUAUGUAAAUGGAGUUUCAGGUUUUGUUCGUUCUUCGUUCUCGUGGGACUCUCUCUCUAAAAUUGUACAUAAUUAUUUUUCAGUCAUAAAUUUCUGUAAAUACUAUUCGGGCGCCCGCAACUGGGCUCGAGACGCAGACGAUGAUUGGAGAGGGCCUCCCGUGAAAUUGGACCUUUUGGGCAUUUAUUUUGGAGGAAAUUACACCCACGCUACUUUUAAA